rnacentral:rRNA from 1 species
CACGUAGUUAGCCGGGGCUUCUUAGUCAGGUACCGUCUUGUCUCGUUCCUGCUGAUAGAGCUUUACAUACCGAAAUACUUCUUCACUCACGCGGCGUCGCUGCAUCAGGGUUUCCCCCAUUGUGCAAUAUUCCCCACUGCUGCCUCCCGUAGGAGUUUGGGCCGUGUCUCAGCCCCAAUGUGGCCGUCCACCCUCUCAGGCCGGCUACUGAUCGUCGCUUUGGUAGGCCGUUACCCUGCCAACUGGCUAAUCAGACGCGGGUCCAUCCCAUACCACCGGAGUUUUUCACGCAGGAGCAUGCGCUCCCGUGCGCUUAUGCGGUAUUAGCACCUGUUUCCAGGUGGUAUCCCCCGGUAUGGGGCAGGUUACCCACGCGUUACUCACCCGUCCGCCACUAAGACUACUCAUUUCCAAAGUGACAAGCACUCCUUCCAUAAGCACUCCCCGUUCGACUUGCAUGUGUUAAGCACGCCGCCAGCGUUCAUCCUGACGCCAGGAUCAAACUCUACG